CCCUGCUGCUUCAGAACUGUUAAGUAACUAUUUUCCUACAAUUUAUCUCAGGCAAGACCUCGAAUAUUUUCCUAACUGCUACCAACUCAGGCACUGCAUAGGACGAUGAUACAGAGGAUCGGCAACAGGAUCCUAACCUUCUUCUGCAAGCACUGUCUACCUCCUUAGAAGAUGGGCUGUGCCACAUGCAGACGAAUGAGCACCGGAGUAACCUGGUCUGGCUAGUUGAAACCAGUCCAGCUGUGGCCUAAGGUUACAUCCAGAUGGACUAAUGCAAGUGAGAAGAGAUACGCAGAGGACAGUGAUGCUGUAACUUGUUUGAUUACGAUCCUUCUUCAUGGUUGCACUGAAUCUCAUCUUGUGAUCUGCCGACUUCAGAGAGGUGAUGAUUCAGUUUUGCUCUCUUUUCACAUUCAUGUAUACCUCGAGUGAUAGAUUAAGUCUGAAGAUACAACAGGCAAAACUGUGAAAUGCAUCUCAUCCCAUGGGGUCCUUUUCUUGCCAGUACAGAAAUGGAAGACAGCUUCCCAGGUAUUCAGGAGCAUCGUGUUACCAUUCCCCAGAUUUUACAACAGAGGCUCACCACAUUCAGAGUUAAUACAUAUAAUUCAGGGUAGAAUGUAGGAUGUUUGUGCUUGUGACAUGAGGGAAAAUGCCCACUGGUAUUUAAUUCCUAUACCUUUUGCCUGGUUAAGAAAGCAUGUGUCUUGUUGCAGAGUUCUCAUGCCUCAUUGAGCCCAGAGAACUUCCAUUGAUAAGGGACAGGGUCACAGUUAGAUUAAGUUUAAUGUCUUAAAUGUGAAUUAAAAUCUUAAUGUGACUGUCUUCACACAUACUGCUGGUCCCAACAAAGUCAGGCCAAGUUUGUGCUGAUGCCGCCUCCUUUUAUCUACCCAUCAGAGCAACACGGGGCCUUUCCACCUAGCAGGGUACAGGGCAAAGUGUGCCAAGGUCAUCUGGCCAAAAAGCUGCUUGGGAUCAGCCUUUCAGUUGAGAUGUUCAACAGAAAAGCCUCUAGUAAGGGAUUCUGAGAAGGGAGGAUUGUUACUGUUGUUUUUGUAACAAAAAUCUUUUGUGCAUCUUGGCUCUCUCUUCUUAAGCCAGGAUGGCAGGAUUUCUCCAUUCAUCCUUUCUGAGCCAUGCAGGAUUUUUCAUUUUUAUCCUUUUUGAGCCACAAAGAGAGCCUUCCGUCUGGACUGUGUGUCUGCAGGAGGCCAGUGCUUGGUGGGUGCUCUGAAGCUUUGGCCUUGACAAUCCCCUCAGCCACCUGGCUUCCUGGGUGGUGGGGAGGGCAGGGGCUCAGGGCUUCUGGUCCCUUCCUAUGGGGUUUGGUGGAAGGAGAGCAAGACUUUUUUUUUUUCUCUGAAAAUGAGACCUCGCAAUAUCUGCAUGGAGACAUUAGAAGUGCUGCAGCAGGGGGAAUUCUCGUUCAAUCAGCUAUGAUGGAAGAAAAGACGAGCAAGUCCUGUCUGGAAACUGGUUUGUUGAUGGGUCAGAAUGGUUGAUGUAGCAAGUUGCUUUCUUAAAACAUUUUUCAACCUGUGACUGUUUGCAGUAAGUUUCAAACCAGAUUGUACUGGCCAAGCAGAAUAUGUGUUCAAACUCUGCUGAGAACCUGCAGCCAACAAGAGAGAUAAAGGCAUUCUGUUCCUCACACUCUGCAAUAAUAGGGAAGGCAUUAAUAAUGCUGAGCUGAGAAACAAGCCCUCUGCUGAGAUAGCUUAGUGCAACAAUAGCAAGAGCCUGUUUAUGAGCUCAGUGUACUCUUCAUUUACUAGGUACACUCUGUACAAAUUAUGUAAACUUGCUCAAGCCCCUGGAAUUACAAAAUUCACUAGGUAAUUAAACAGAUCUUGACAGCACAGUGGUGACCACUUCACCUCACAUCCGGUGUCAGAGAGGGAAGAUAAUAUUGUGAUGUAGACAUAAGCUUGUGCUAGAGGACAGCUGGUGUUCACUCUGAGCGCUGUGCAGUUGAUCCUGCUCGAGUUCUCAUGGGAAUCAUAGUUCUGAUUGAACAACCUGUCUUCCUUAAUAAUAUAAGUCUGAAAUUUGGUGGGGAUAGGCAGGACUGUCUUUUGGUAUAGAUGAAUAUUUAGCCCAAUCUGUGUUAAAUUUUGAAAGUACCUGUAUGUUUCUGUAAUAUAAAUAAUCCUGAGUCACAUAAAAUACAAGAAAAUGGAUGACAGCUAGUACAAAGACAGCAUCAUCUCUAAAAUAAAGUGAGUCCCAGGAUGCCUACAAAGUUUCUUCUAGGAUGUUUAGAUUUUUGUUCAUUUAUUUAAUUAUUUAAUUAUUGACAUACAAAUCAUUUGUAAGAUCUGGAAGAUAUAUUUCCAGUGUAUGAUAUUGCAGACACUUCAGCUGUCCAUGGAAUAGGGCAACUUCCUUUUUGUACGUCAAAUGGGACAGCAAAAGUACAAGUAUUUGCAGUAAAAUGUCCAUAGCAAGGAACUACACUAAAAACCAUUUCAUGUGGUGACCACAGACUUGCAGGCAAAGCAAAUGUCCAAAUAAACCUAAAAGAAAGCAAUCAAUCAAACAAGCUCCAUGAAGCGUUUUUAUGAAGUUGUGAAAAUUCUGGAAGAAACUGAAAUUCUUUUGGUGAGCAGCAGUCUGGGGCAUCCUGUCUUUCAGAAAACUUUGCUAUGUUGUUGGCCUCCCCAGAUAUUUCAGGCUCACAUGAAAAAGAUUGUGUCAUUCUGCUUAGCUUUAGUCUUGGGCUGUUUUGUUCAGUGCCUGUGCUCCAACAUUAACCACAGCAAUGCGAAGUAUGAACUAGUCCAGCACUGCAGCAUAUCGUGUGUGUUCUAACAAUGCUAGUUAAUAUUUGCAUGUAUCAGAGUUUUUAAAAUUGUGUUCUGUAUAAAGAAGUAUCUGAAAAACUUACUGAUGUUAAAAUUAUCUCAUGGAAGCCUGUAAUAAAAUUAAAAAUACGUAUGUUAUCUACAAAGUCCAAGCUUUUGAUAGAUGUUUGCAAUUUUUAAAGGAUUGUAUUGGUUGUAUUUGGUUUUAUUUUGGUUGUAUUUUUAUUUUCUCUCCCUCACUCAGAGAUGUACAUAGGUGGACCCAUGGCACCAAGUAUGUCUGUCUGGAUAUGAAAAAAGAUAUGAAAAGCCUUUAUAAAUGUUUUAAGAACUGACAUAUUUCCAAAAUUGUUUUCUGUAAAAUAUACAGCCUAUAUAUAACAAGUGAUGGGGAAAAAAAAGAAAGCUUUACUAACAGAGCCUUAACAUGUCUCUCUAGUGUCAUUUGUUUCUAUAUAUUUUUAAUGAAAAGCAGGGAAUAUGAACUGGAUUUUAUUGCCUUUUUGAAAGAGCAACAUAUGGAAUUUUGUUCAGAUUCAUGCAGCCUGAAAUGCAUGAUCUAAGUCUCUCCUAGGUUUCCUUUCUAAAGAUCCUUCCAAAAAGGCUCAGUGAUGAAAAGCAUCAUUCAAAAGUGUUUUCGUAAAAGGAAUAUUCUAAAGAGGUUGGAGUCUUUGUGCAUGUUGAGAUAUCCUGUUGUUACUAUCAUAGCAUUUUUAUGUGAAAUAAUGAUAAGAAAAAUGCUCUUCCUCUGUCAGCAUUUUUUGCUCUUUACUGUAAGAACAAAUUGCUCUUCUCCUAUCUGCACUGAGCUUGCACCAGCUGCAUCAGAAAUUCAGCACAGGAAGGGAAAAAAGUCAUUCACCUUGUGGAUCCAACUGCAGAAAGUACUCCUCAUGCCUUUGACUAGAGACGAUCGAUAUAAUGAAGGGCUACUUUCAGGUUAUGUAACGUUGGAUGAUGGGGUCACAAGUUAGGAGCUAUUCCAAAAAUAAAAAGGUUUAGAAAGGAAGAAAAGAAUGAGAUGUACUUUCUUAGUCUUAAUUUUGGCAGACAAAAAGUACUUCUUGACUUCUAUGUUCAGCUUGCUACAAUUUUCUAAAGCAUCUAGGUUUGAUGGUUUAGCUUAAAGCUCGAUGUUUCAUAAAAGCUAGUUUUCUAGUGAAGACCUUUUUGACAAUGAAUGUUUUGCAAAUUGUUUACCUUACAGAGCUACCUGUGUAGACUUGCAGCUUCUUUGAUGGUUGAAGUAUUUCCAAAAUAAUUUUUUCUCAGCUGGAAGUAGAAACAGCUGCUGGAGAAAAUGGAAAAUAGCAGCCUAAAGAAAAAAGUAAAAAAGAAAUGCAUGUGACCUUCAAGACAAAAAGAAGAGAGUACGUGCAGGGUACUAUAAAUGACCUAAGGCUCUUAGGAAUCUUGCUAAUAUUCCCACUUCUGAAAGCCCUUUCUUCUUUAGGAAUUUGAGAAGGGAAAGAUGGAGAACGAGAAAGAAAAAAAAAAAGAAAAUAUUAAAUUGUGUAAUAGGCUUUGUCAUGGAGAACGUCACUGUUUUAUAAUGAAAAAGGAAAAGGAAUUUCCUGGAUAAAGGAUAGGCCAGUUGAAAUAGAUUGUGGCCACAGAACUUCAGGUUGGAAAUUUACUAACUCUGUCUGCAUUUCCCAACAUCCUUGCCAGCUCAAUGACCAAGGCACAAUAUGACAUCUGCAAGGGACUGCCUUUCCUCAUAGUACCUCAUGGAAAGUGUGGGACAAUUUGGCAGUCCGGACUGUGGAAGGGAAUGGAUCCAUGAACCAUUCACAGUGGCCUUGAGAAGCUGUAAGAACCAUCACAAGUUAGGAUAUAUUGUUCAGGCUUGAGCCAAGAUAACCACUUUAUGGGAACAGUUGUGUUUUUGUCAUUCACAGUCACAUCUCAGGUUCUCGUUUUGAUUACAUAGAUGUGUCUGUGCUUUUAUUGGGGUUCAGGUGUCCUGGUCCAUUAUUCUUUCAGUUUCCUGGAAGCCAUUCACAUGAAUCCUCAUUCAGCAGCUCUCAUCUGCACUGGGUAUUUGUCCUUACACCAGUACUCAGGAAGAAAAGAAAAAGCACAGCGUGGCAAUGAUUUACAAAGUCUGACAAAACACUAAAGCAAUAUUUCACACAUCACUCAGAUCAUGAAAGAGAGCUUAAUUUCUGGAGGGAACAGUAGCCAUCUAACUAAUUGAUUUAAGCAGAAAACUCACUGUCAAGGUCAGUCUAAAAACACAGUGAGGCAAGAUAUAUUUUAUUACAUAAAACCUCUCAGUGUUUUAAUUUGAUUAUGUUAUUAGUUCCAUGUAAGUGUAUUAACUAAGAAGGCAUGAUUAACUGAAUAAAUUUUAGAAGUGAUGAGGAGGCUGGUGUCGACAGUAGCAGUUCAACUAUUAGAAUCCAGACACUCUGUUUUUACCUAUGAAGGAAAAAAAAAUAUAUAUAUAUAUAUUCUAAGGUGGAACUUCUCAGAAGACACCUGAAAAAUCUAUCAUGGGAAAGGAACACUUCUGGGAUUUCUUCUUUGUCUAGACAGGGAGAAGCCUCUGAUCAAACAACAGAAAAAAAAAAAAAAAAAAAAAAAAAAAGGACAGCUAGCAGUUUUUUGAAGGUCAAAUUAACCUUGGAAAAUAAAUCUGGGGAAGGUUGCUCUAAAACAAAUUCCAACAGCAGAGAGCAGCACUGCCAUGAGGUCCUAUCUGAAAAAUCUUCGGACACUGACAACUCAUGUUCCCAUCAAAAACAAACAAAAAAGCACUAUAUGUAUUUUUAUAGUUUAAAUAUAAUCAAAAUUGUCUCUGCUUCAAGUUUACCUGAGGACUUAAAGGGUGAGACUGAAUUCCAUUGUGUCACCAUGAUAAUCUGUCGAUCACUUUAAAAACAAAUGCUUCUUCAACAAAUAAAGAAUGCUGCUAUGAAAUUCAGUAUUUUUUCUUUCUUUCCCCCCCCUGCUGCCCUUCUACUUUGGGGCAUUCAGCUGCUCCUUAUAAAUCUCUUAGAAUUUCAGCCAACCUUCUGAUUUUAAAUGUUCUCUUUGUGGAAGGAAAAAGCUGAGAACAUUAAGAAGUAGAUUAUAUCUGUCUGGGCAACAAAACCCAAGCACACUAUUUUGGAGAAUGUAAAAAAAUAAUCCAGUGAUUUAGAAAGAUGAAAUCAAUGUACCUAUGAAGGAAUUGCAUGUACAUAUAUAAUUUGAUCUAUGUUUGUGUGGAUUUAAAAUAAAAUCAC
ensembl:lncRNA